GGGCUGCAGUGAGGAAUAUUGGGCAAUGGGCGCAAGCCUGACCCAGCAACGCCGCGUGGAGGAUGAAUGCCGUAAGGUUGUAAACUCCUUUUUUUAGGGACGAAAAAAUAGGUUGAUAGCCUAUAUUGACGGUACCUUUAGAAUAAGCCCCGGCUAACUACGUGCCAGCAGCCGCGGUAAUACGUAGGGGGCAAGCGUUGUCCGGAUUCACUGGGUGUAAAGGGCGCGUAGGCGGGCUUGCUAGUCAGAGGUGAAAUCCUGCGGCUUAACCGUAGAACUGCCUUUGAUACUGCAAGUCUUGAGUGCGGAAGAGAGAGACGGAAUUCCAGGUGUAGUGGUGAAAUACGUAGAUAUCUGGAAGAACACCAGUGGCGAAGGCGGUCUCUUGGUCCGUUACUGACGCUGAGGCGCGAAAGCGUGGGGAGCAAACAGGAUUAGAUACCCUGGUAGUC
rnacentral:rRNA from 1 species